rnacentral:misc_RNA from 1 species
GACUCUUUGGCAACAUUAAAUUAUCCUGCAUGGGGUUAUGGAUUAAGAUACAGGUAUGGCUUAUUUAAACAGCGAAUUACAAAAGAUGGUCAAGAGGAGGUUGCUGAAGAUUGGCUUGAGAUGGGUAAUCCCUGGGAAAUUGUGAGAAAUGAUGUUGCAUAUCCUGUAAAAUUUUACGGCAAGGUUGUUAGUGGAUCAGAUGGGAAAAAACACUGGAUCGGAGGAGAAGAUAUAAAGGCUGUGGCAUAUGAUGUCCCAAUACCAGGAUAUAAAACUAAAAGCACUAUUAACCUUCGACUUUGGUCAACUAAAGCUCCAGCCGAAGAUUUGGACUUGUAUGCUUUCAAUGCUGGGGAGCACACUAAAGCAUAUGAGGCCCUUGCAAAUGCUGAAAAGAUUUGCUAUAUUCUCUAUCCUGGGGAUGAUUCAGCGGAGGGCAAGAUCCUACGGUUGAAACAACAAUAUACCUUAUGUUCAGCUUCUCUCCAAGAUAUCAUUGCACGGUUCGAGAGAAGAUCUGGAUCAAACAUAAAGUGGGAAGAAUUUCCUGAGAAAGUUGCAGUGCAGAUGAAUGACACUCAUCCCACUCUCUGCAUUCCAGAGCUGAUGAGAAAUUUGAUAGACUUGAAAGGCUUAAGCUGGAAGGAGGCCUGGAAUAUUACCCAAAGAACUGUGGCAUAUACGAACCAUACUGUUCUACCUGAAGCAUUGGAGAAAUGGAGUUUAGAGCUUAUGGAGAAGCUGUUACCACGACAUGUUGAGAUCAUAGAAAUGAUUGAUGAAGAGCUGAUAAAAACCAUUGUUUCUGAGUAUGGAAGAGAAGAUCCCGACCUUUUGGAGAAAAAACUGAAGGAAAUGAGAAUAUUAGAAAAUGUAGAUUUGCCUUCCACCUUUGCGGAUUUAAUUGUUAAACCCAAGGAAAGCUCUGUUGCAGCUAUGAGUGAAGAAACUGAAAAAUCUGAUGAUGAAAGCAAGCUGAUUAGUGAAAAAGAUGAAAUUGAUAGUGAAGAUGAGCCAGAAAGCAAAGGUGAACCCAAUGGCAAAGGCACUCAGAAGAAGGAAAAGGUGGUGGCAGAACCGCCACCAAAACCACCAAAGCUGGUCCGUAUGGCUAAUCUCUGUGUUGUAGGUGGUCAUGCAGUAAAUGGAGUUGCUGAGAUACAUAGUGAAAUAGUGAAGGAUGAAGUGUUUAAUGCAUUUUAUGAGUUGUGGCCUAAUAAGUUUCAAAAUAAAACCAAUGGGGUUACUCCAAGAAGAUGGAUCCGUUUCUGCAAUCCGGAUUUGAGUAAAAUUAUUACUGACUGGACUGGAUCUGAAGAAUGGGUUUUAAAGACUGAAAAGCUGGCUGAACUAAGAAAGUUUGCAGAUAAUGAGGAUCUUCAAACCCAAUGGAGGGCAGCGAAGAAAAGCAAUAAGAUGAAGGUUGUGUCAUUCCUCAAAGAAAAAACAGGGUAUUCUGUCAGCCCCGAUGCAAUGUUUGAUAUCCAGGUGAAGCGUAUUCAUGAAUACAAGCGACAGCUGCUGAAUAUUCUUGGAAUUGUGUACCGCUACAAGAAGAUGAAAGAAAUGAGUGCUGCAGAAAGGAAAGCUAAGUAUGUUCCUAGAGUUUGUAUAUUUGGUGGAAAAGCAUUCGCUACAUAUGUGCAAGCCAAAAGGAUUGUGAAAUUUAUCACGGAUGUGGGGGCUACAGUUAAUCAUGAUGCUGAAAUAGGUGAUUUACUUAAGGUUGUUUUUGUCCCGGAUUACAACGUCAGUGUUGCUGAAUUGCUUAUUCCUGCAAGUGAGCUUUCACAGCAUAUCAGCACUGCUGGGAUGGAAGCCAGUGGAACGAGCAACAUGAAGUUUGCUAUGAAUGGUUGCAUCCUAAUAGGGACCAUGUUGAAAUACGGCAGGAGGUUGGAGAAGACAAUUUUUUCCUCUUCGGUGCUGAAGCUCAUGAGAUUGCAGGGCUGAGGAAAGAAAGAGCUAAUGGGAAGUUUGUUCCGGACCCACGAUUCGAAGAAGUGAAAGAAUUUGUCAGAAGUGGUGUUUUUGGCUCUUACAACUAUGAUGAACUGAUGGGAUCACUAGAGGGAAAUGAAGGUUUUGGUCGUGCUGAUUAUUUCCUCGUUGGCAAGGACUUCCCCAGCUAUAUAGAAUGCCAAGAGAAAGUCGAUGAGGCAUAUCAGGACCAAAGUAGAUGGACCAAGAUGUCAAUCAUGAAUACAGCAGGUUCAUACAAGUUCAGCAGCGACAGGACGAUCCAUGAAUAUGCCAAGGAUAUUUGGAGUAUUGAACCUGUCAUAUUGCCAUAGUCGCCAUCACUUGAGUUGCUGUGUUGGUGGCGCCACAAGCUCAAGACUCUGAGCUUUCCGCAUCCGACUGUAAACGUUGAUUUGCCAUCCGGAAAUAAAUGUGGCUUUAAUAUUAGCAAUGAAAAAAAUAAGAGAGCUUGUAUGUGAAGUUCGACCGCUGCAAAAACAAAUAAAAGAAUGAAGUUCAAAAUAUCAUUCCUCCAUUUUGUGUAAUAGCUCAACUGCCUCUUCUAUCCCCUUGAUCAAACCAUUAUACACUUGUCGCCU